rnacentral:misc_RNA from 1 species
AACGCAUAUUGCGCUCUUUGGUAUUCCGAAGAGCAUGCUUGUUUGAGUAUCAGUAAACACCUCAACCUCUCUUUUUUGAUAAAAAAAAAGGGAGGGUGGACUUGAGCUAUCCCAACGACCUUCACCGGUAGGCGGGCGGCUUGAAAUGCAGGUGCAGCUGGACUUUUAUCUGAGCUAAAAGCAUAUCUAUUUAGUCCUCGUCAAACAGGAUUAUUACUUUUGCUGCAGCUAACAUAAAGGAUAAUUGUCCUCUUUGCUGACUGAUGCAGGAUUUUACGACACUUUAUGUGUUGUUCAACUCGAUCUCAAAUCAAGUAAGACUACCCGCUGAACUUAA